GUAGACAGGUGCUGCAUGGCUGUCGUCAGCUCGUGUCGUGAGAUGUUCGGUUAAGUCCGCUAACGAGCGCAACCCUCGCUGUGUGUUACAAGUGUCACACGGAACUGCCGGUCAUAAACCGGAGGAAGGUGGGAUGACGUCAAGUCAGCAUGGCCUUUAUAUCCUGGGCUACACACACGCUACAAUGGGAAGGGACAAUAGGUUGCGAAGCCGCGAGGCGGAGCCAAUCCAGCAAAACUUCCCUCAGUUCAGAUUGCAGGCUGCAACCCGCCUGCAUGAAGUUGGAGUUGCUAGUAAACGCAGGUCAGCCAUACUGCGUUGAAUACGUUCCCGGGGCUU
rnacentral:rRNA from 1 species